GACGAACGCUGGCGGCGUGCCUAAUACAUGCAAGUAGAACGCUGAAGGAGGAGCUUGCUUCUCCGGAUGAGUUGCGAACGGGUGAGUAACGCGUAGGUAACCUGCCUGGUAGCGGGGGAUAACUAUUGGAAACGAUAGCUAAUACCGCAUAACAGUAGAUAUUGCAUGAUAUCUGCUUGAAAGGUGCAAUUGCAUCACUACCAGAUGGACCUGCGUUGUAUUAGCUAGUUGGUGAGGUAACGGCUCACCAAGGCGACGAUACAUAGCCGACCUGAGAGGGUGAUCGGCCACACUGGGACUGAGGCACGGCCCAGACUCCUACGGGGGGCAGCAGUAGGGAAUCUUCGGCAAUGGACGGAAGUCUGACCGAGCAACGCCGCGUGAGUGAAGAAGGUUUUCGGAUCGUAAAGCUCUGUUGUAAGAGAAGAACGAGUGUGAGAGUGGAAAGUUCACACUGUGACGGUAUCUUACCAGAAAGGGACGGCUAACUACGUG
rnacentral:rRNA from 1 species